rnacentral:rRNA from 1 species
CCGCACGGGUGGGUAACACGUAUCCAACCUGCCGUCUACUCUUGGCCAGCCUUCUGAAAGGAAGAUUAAUCCAGGAUGGCAUCAUGAGUUCACAUGUCCGCAUGAUUAAAGGUAUUUUCCGGUAGACGAUGGGGAUGCGUUCCAUUAGAUAGUAGGCGGGGUAACGGCCCACCUAGUCUACGAUGGAUAGGGGUUCUGAGAGGAAGGUCCCCCACAUUGGAACUGAGACACGGUCCAA